rnacentral:lncRNA from 1 species
ACAAAUAGUUGCAAUCUCAGAAGGUUCUGUUAUAAACCCAACUCCCAACUUUUAGACGAUGGGGAGCCUUGCGGUGUAAGAGGCUUCCUCAGGGCUCAUAGAACAGACUUGCUUCAUGGAGCUGAUCAAAGUGAAACUCGUGUGGCUCCUGUGGGGAAGAACAUUUCAAGUUGCAGGAGCAGUGUGAACAAAGCAAACAGCAGGGUCUGUGGACCACACUUGGAAUCAAGAAUAGAGAAGGUUGUGUGGAAAAAAACAAACAAAAACAAACAAAACAAAAAACUUGUGUAUGAUUCACCUCCAAGGAAAGAAACCAGGGAUAAUACUGUAAUUGAUCAUCUACAGUGUAAUAAGACCCUACCUAGUUGUGCCGCCUGUAUCAACUCUAGUCCUCAUGACACUGAUGCAAAGUAAAUGUUAUCUCCACAUUGACUGUGUAGCAAGUAAGGUCACAGAGAUUAGGUAAGCAAGAAAAGCCAUUUUAAUUGAAGAAAAAGUGACGAAUGAGCAGGACAUUCUAAUUCCAGUGAUGUGCUUUUUCCCAUUUUAAUGUCAGCUGAACCACAAAAAUGUUCAUUUUUCUCUCUUCAUACUUCCUAAGCUUGUGAUUGGUUCUCUGGUUAUUUUAUUUUUGAAUGAAGAGAAACUUUUGAAAUGGCUCUGUACAAUAGAACGUUCUGCAAUUACAGAAAUAUUCUACAUUUAUUUCUUCAAAUAGAACUUUCUGCAAUUACAAAAAUAUUCUACAUUUAUUCCUUCAAAUAUUGUAGCCACAUGUGGCUCUUGAGAAUUGAAAUGUGGCCGGUGUGACUGGAAAACUAAAAUUUUCAUUGAAUUGCAUUUUACUUAAAAUUUUAAAUAUUUAUAGCUUUUGGCUAAAAAAGUGGCUAAUUCUCGUUGGCUGCUGUAUAGGACAGCACAGCUUUAUGGAAAGGGUCCUGGGGUCGUUGAGUUUGAAAGCUGACCUGGAUUUGCACUGGAGGUAUAUGUGCCAUUUCAUACAGUGUUUGUAAUUUUCAUCCAUAAUCCGUAAUCUUUACUCCUCUCUUCUUCCUUUCCUAAAUCACAUGGCUUCAAACAGCUUCUUUCUUUUGGAUUCACAUCCUUUAAGCAGAAGUUUUAAACAUGG